UACGUAGGGUGCAGGCGUUAAUCGGAAUUACUGGGCGUAAAGCGUGCGCAGGCGGUUUGCUAAGACAGGUGUGAAAUCCCCGGGCUUAACCUGGGAACUGCGUCGGAUACUGGAUGGCUUGAAUUCGGGAGAGGGAUGCAGAAUUCCAGGUGUAGCGGUGAAAUGCGUAGAUAUCUGGAGGAAUACCGGUGGCGAAGGCGGCAUCCUGGACCGAGAUUGACGCUGAGGAGCGAAAGCUAGGGGAGCAAACGGG
rnacentral:rRNA from 1 species